AGAAAGUUUGGGCACACCCUGCAGCCUAAGGCUGGGAUGGCUGCAUGUUCCCUAGGAACCUCUGUCUGGGUAGCUGUAUUGGUUCCUCUGGCUGGAGAGGGCACAGGGGUGCAGAGGACAUGGCUUUCUGCUGGAUGUGGGUAACAGCUGCUAUUUGAAGUGGCAGAAUGAUAGUGCCUUCCUUGCACGCACUUUUGCAAAGAACUCUACACUAACACUAAACAAUUGUUGACUUUCACAGGUUGUGUAUUCUCUGUUUCCCUUUCCUCACUCCUGCCAAUGAAGUAUGAGGAGGUAGCACUGCUUCUGUCCUGAUCCCCUUUACUGAGGGCUUAGUGCAGAAUUGACAUCAGCUCUUUGAGGGAGAUGAUGAAAAGAAUGGGAAAGCAAGGCUCAUUCAGGCUUUGUGGGUCAGUGGAAGAAUUACCAGGAAGUGGAUGAACCUUGUGAGCCUGUUGGAUAGUCUUGCAUAUGGGGCUGUCUCAGAUGAUGGUAAAAUCAUGGGAUGUUCCCUAGUGGAAGAGAGCCAGCCACUUGGUGGAGGUAGUCUGCCUGGGAGCCAUGAGCCUGUGAUUUGUCUCUCUCAGGUAAGUCCACGUACGUGGGUGCGAUGGUACUGACCCUCCUUAUCAGCUGCCACUUCACGUUAGGAUGGGGAUCAAUUGGCCCUUGUAGGAGGAAAUAACACAAGUCUCUCUUGUACAAAGAGCUUUGCAAAGGCUUUUGCUACUAAACAAGUGCUGUUCCUGCUGCAGGGUCCCUGUAUUAUAGGGCUUGGAAUAGAAAGCAGUGUAGUGGAUUGUGACGUUAUGAGGCCACAGCACUGAGUUUCUAAGAGCACCCCGUGGUGACCCAACCGUGAUUGUUUUGGGAAUUGGAGCCUUCUGCAAAGGAUCAGGUGCCUCUGUAACUUCUUUGACACUACUUGGAAGGUCAGAGGAAGUUGGAGUCCCUCCGAUGUAGUCCUCCAGUUCCCCAGUACUCAGUGAUGGGUUUGCCCUCCUGCAGGUGGUUCCAGUUAGAUCGGGUCUUCCUCCAGAUGUGAAUCCACCUCCAUGGACUCUCCAUCAGUCUCAGGAGAAACCACAUGUAUCGACACAAUGGGCGUGGAGCAGAAUUGAAGCCAGCUCUUUUGGAGGGAUGAACAUGGGAUGAGUUAAAGCAAGGCUCAUUCAAGCUUUCAGGGUCAGUGGCAUAUGAACCUGUGGGACUUGCACUAGGAUCUAUAUUGGCUGAUGGUAAAAUCAUGGGAUGUUCCCUUGUGGAAGGGAGCUGGCCAUCUUGGGGAGGUAAUCAGCAUGGCAGCAAUGGGCCUGUAAUGGGUCACUCUCAGGUGGUUCCAAUUCAGUCAGUUCUUCCAGUUGUGGAUCCACAUCCAUGGGCUCUCCAUCACUGUCAAGAAGGGCCAAGUAUAUGGGCCCAUUGGUACAGAGUCUCCCUAUUGGCCGCCACUUCUUGUUAGGAGAAGACUCAAUCAACCCCUUUAUAAGAAGAUAGAACACAAGUCUCACUUGCAAAAAGAGCUCAGGUAGGAGAACUGACCUCAGCCCUCCUUGACGGUUCUGGAAAAUAUUUCUCUCUUGGCUGCCUAAAAGCGAUGUGCCUGUAAUAGGCCUGCCCUGCUGCAGGUCGCUCCACUUCAAUCCAUUCUUCCAUUUGAUAUGAAUCCAUCUUCAAGGGCUCUUUCUCUC
ensembl:lncRNA